rnacentral:lncRNA from 1 species
CUGAGAGGCCAAUUAAAGUGCCCCAGGGUCAGUGUCCCAGAAAGCAGCCCUUGAGAGGGUGAUGAUGGAGAAAUUGCAGUGGAGAACCCUGAGAUUAAGAAAUGCCAGUAAUGUGGACUUCAUACCAAGAAAAGCUACAGGAAUUGAGUAGAGACAAACCAACAGAAAGGCCAUGUGGGCUGCAACCAGCAAAGUCAUAGGGGCGAAGGAAAACAAGUCCUUUGGAGAGAACUUCAUGGUGCCUUGUGCUCUGGAUGCUGGCCAUGGAACUAUAGGACUUGUUUACCCAGCUGGAUUUUGAUCUUGGUUUGGUCCCAUCCCUUCUUUUUUUUGGUCCUUAUUUCUCCCUUUUGGAACAGAAAUGUUUACUCUGCCUUUAUUUGUUGGGUAUAUAUAACUUGCUUUUGAGUUUUACAGGGGUUCAUGUUGAGAAUUUGCUUUGAGUCUCUUUGGAGGCUUUGGACUUGGACUUUUGGGCA